GUGAGUCAUCGAAUCUUUGAACGCACAUUGCACCCUCUGGUAUUCCGGAGGGUAUGCCUGUUCGAGCGUCAUUACAGCCCUCAAGCACUCUGCUUGGAGUUGAGCGCCGCCGGCUUACGGCGCGCUCCAAAAUCAGUGGCGGCGUCGGACGACCCCGAGCGUAGUAGAUCAUUCUCGCUCCAGGGGCCUGGACGAUGCUCGCCAGAAGCCAUUAUACCAAAGGUUGACCUCGGAUCAGGUAGGGAUACCCGCUGAACUUAAGCAUAUCAAUAAGCGGAGGA
rnacentral:misc_RNA from 1 species